GCCCCCGUAGCUCAGUGGACAGAGCAGGAGCCUUCUAAGCUCUUGGCCGGGGGUUCGAAUCCUCCCGGGGGCG
rnacentral:tRNA from 2 species